rnacentral:rRNA from 1 species
CCUUACCGGGGUUUGACAUGCAGGUGAUCGCCGUUGGAAAGACCGGGUUUUCCCGUCUUCCGGAGGCACCUGCACAGGUGCUGCAUGGCUGUCGUCAGCUCGUGUCGUGAGAUGUCGGGUUAAGUCCUCUAACGAGCGAAACCCUUGCCGUUAGUUACCAGCGGGUCAUGCCGGGAACUCUAACGGGACUGCCGGUGUUAAACCGGAGGAAGGUGGGGAUGACGUCAAGUCAUCAUGGCCUUUAUGCCCAGGGCAUCACACGUGCUACAAUGGCCGGUACAAAGCGACGCAAGACCGCGAGGUGGAGCCAAUCGCAAAAAACCGGCCCCAGUUCGGAUUGCAGGCUGGCAACUCGCCUGCAUGAAGUUGGAAUCGCUAGUAAUCGUGAAUCAGCUAUGUCACGGUGAAUGUCGUUCCUGAGCCUU